CCAGACUCUACGGGAGGCAGCAGUCGGGAAUAUUGCACAAUGGAGGAAACUCUGAUGCAGUGACACCGCGUAUAGGAAGAAGGUCUUAGGAUUGUAAGCUAUUGUCGUGUGAGAAGAAAAUGACCAUCACAGGAGGAAGCCCUGGCUAAAUAUGUGCCAGCAGCCGCGGUAAUACAUAUGGGGCGAGCGUUAUCCGGAUUUAUUGGGUGUAAAGGGUGCGUAGGCGGGAAAAUAAGUCAGUAUGUGAAAUCCCUCGGCUCAACUGAGGAACUGCAACUGAAACUAUUUUUCUUGAGUGUUGAAGGGGAAAGUGGAAUUCCUAGUGUAGCGGUGAAAUGCGUAGAGAUUAGGAGGAACACCAGUGGCGAAGGCGACUUUCUGGGCAACAACUGACGCUGAGGCACGAAAGUGUGGGGAGCAAACAGGAUUAGAUACCCUGGUAGUCCACACCGUAAACGAUGGAUACUAGGAGUUGGCAAAAAUAUUGUCGGUUCCGCAGUUAACGCAUUAAGUAUCCCACCUGGGGAGUACGACCGCAAGGUUAAAACUCAAAGGAAUUGACGGGGGCCCGCACAAG
rnacentral:rRNA from 1 species